rnacentral:rRNA from 1 species
GACGAACGCUGGCGGCGUGCCUAACACAUGCAAGUCGAGCGAGAAGCUUAUGAUUGAGACUUCGGUUGAUUGAAUGAGUGGAAAGCGGCGGACGGGUGAGUAACGCGUGAGUAACCUGCCUUAUGGAGGGGGACAACAGUUAGAAAUGACUGCUAAUACCGCAUGAUAUAUAUUUAUCGCAUGGUAGAUAUAUCAAAGAUUUAUCGCCAUAAGAUGGACUCGCGUCUGAUUAGAUAGUUGGUGAGGUAACGGCUCACCAAGUCGACGAUCAGUAGCCGAACUGAGAGGUUGAUCGGCCACAUUGGGACUGAGACACGGCCCAGACUCCUACGGGAGGCAGCAGUGGGGGAUAUUGCACAAUGGGGGAAACCCUGAUGCAGCAACGCCGCGUGAAGGAAGAAGGUCUUCGGAUUGUAAACUUUUGUCUUAUGGGAAGAAGAAAGUGACGGUACCAUAGGA